rnacentral:lncRNA from 10 species
GAGCUAAAGCUACACGGUGCCACGAUAACUUUAAGGAAAGGUCCUGGCUGUAUAUAACCCAUGUAUUCAACUCUAUCAACCCAAACCUGGAAAAUGCACACGAAAAGAAGAGGGAAGAGAGCAGUGGUGAUCCUUCUUGACUCUAAGGUUGUAGUGACUUAGCCUUUGGACUCUAGAGCUGGCAGUUAUUAGAAAACUUAAAAGUCCUAGUAUAAAUACCACAGACAUUAAAAGGAUGAAAAAAUAUAAAUUAUUGAUGAUUUGAUGCCAAUUAAAAUUCAAUUAUAGAGAUAAAAUAGACAAUGCUUGGAAUACUCAUAUUACCAGAACAGACAAAGAAGAAAUAGGAAGUCUGAAAAUCCCUUUAUGUGUCAAAGAAAUUCAAUUCUACAAUACCCACA